ACUUGGAUCAAAACAAAAAUCUCGUUCAUAUAUGGUAGGGUCUUACAUGAAGGAAACAUUAGAAAUAUUCUCCACCGUAUCCUAUUUUGAAACAUUCUUUUUCUAUAUGGAGAAGGGAAGAGUUUAUCAUAUUUCUUCAAUUAAAUCAGAAUGCAAGCUUUUAAAAAGGAAAAAAACCACCAAACCCUGUUCAGUGCUAUCAGUGAAUAUAGUUGGGAGAACUGAUUUUGAAACAAGUAAUUCUUUCUCUGACUUCAGUCAAUGUAGCUGGGUCCUCUGAGAAACACCAGCAGCUCCCUUAUCUCUCUUCAGAGGAGUUUUUGUAGCAGACGUUCAGUGAUGUGUUGCAGCAUUUGGACAUUGUCACCUGAAGGUAAACAGAAAAAUACACCAUUUAGAUUUCCCUGUGGACCUCAGAGUUUAUCCUGCAGCACCAAAACCCCAACGCUGCUGCCUCUCUCUCGCUCCAGUGUCAGAGCUUGUUUUGUUAUCCAGGGCUGCUGCUUGACAUGCAGCUGGAUGCUCAUGUCUGUUAGGAGUGAGGAGAACAUACUGGAGUUUUACAGCAAUCAAGAUGAAGUAUGAAACUACACAAAUUUCAUACUUCUGCUCUCUGCUUUAAGUGACUGAAGUACAGCAGUGGAAUGCUUGAGAUGCAGAGAGAGAUCUUAAAAAACUGGAAGUAGAUAGUCUUGUAACCCUGAUCAUGGUGAUGUGAGAGCAAAGGUUCCAAGGGAAGAGUAUUUGCUUAUACCAGGCUGACAAAGGGAUUAUGUACUUUUUCGAAUUAGAGUGGUCUAGUACCACUAAUUACAGUGGUAUUUCUCUCCUUGCAAACACACACACCCCCAAGUUAGGCCUCUAAACUAGAACACUCUAGUUUUAAAUACAGUUGAAAUGGUUUUUAAUGUAUAACUUUAAAUCCAAUAGGGGAUGUUGAAAAUUUCAAGUUUUACUUUACAUUCUGAAUUUCUCUUAAUACUUUCUCAAGUGCUUUUGAAGAGAUUUAUUCUUCCUGCUUUUCUUGUGUCCAACACAGAAAAUGCCUUAAAUUUGUCUGCCUCUUGGAGGGCACUUUUAUUUAAAAUUCUCACUGAAUAUUUUAUUGCAUCUGCCUCUAUUGCUAAAUUAUUUUCUUUCUUGAACAGAAAAUUUA